rnacentral:piRNA from 1 species
UGGGAACUGUUCAGGACUGUGGGUACUU